UUAUAAUAUUUCUAAUCGCACAGAUUUAUUAUGUCUAGGUCAAUCAUACAUAUAAUCACAUGAAUGAUCCAAACACAUUGAUACAAUGACACUUAAUACAAGCUUGUUUUGUUUUUUUAAAGUAUUUUUGUGUUUUUGUGUCUUCCAUUGUUUGUGAAGCUGUGAUGACAGGUUCUAGAAAAUGUUUAACGUAACACACUUUAUGAACAUCUAAACACCAUUGCAGUCUACAAAGCAAAUAUAGGCAGGCAUACAGGGCACAGGCUACUAUGUAGAAUUAUUGAAUACAUCUGCACGUACAUUCAAAGAUACAUUGUAUAUAACACCGUACUUUCUUAUAGUAACUUCAACAAGACUGAGAAUACACGGCCAAGGUAUGAUGUAUCAGUGAUACUUAUUGUAACUUCAACGAGACUGAGAAUACACGGCCUAGUUAUGAUGUAUCAGUGAUACUUGUAAUAACUUCAAGAAGACUGAGAAUACACGGCCAAGGUUUGAUGUAUCA